UACAGAGGUCUCAAGCGUUGUUCGGAUUCAUUGGGCGUAAAGGGUGUGUAGGUGGCGCGCUAAGUCGGGUGUGAAAACUCCAGGCUCAACCUGGAGACGCCACCUGAUACUGCUGUGGCUAGAGUCCGGUAGGGGAGCAUGGAAUUCCUGGUGUAGCGGUGAAAUGCGCAGAUAUCAGGAGGAACACCAGUGGCGAAGGCGGUGCUCUGGGCCGGAACUGACGCUGAGGAGCGAAAGCGUGGGGAGCAAACAGG
rnacentral:rRNA from 1 species